GUGCUUGCUUCAGCAGCACAUAUACUAAAAUUGGAAUUAUACAGAGAAGAUUAGCAUAGCCCCUGCAUAAGGAUGACAAACAAAUUCAUGAAGUGUUCCAUAUUUUA
ensembl:snRNA U6 U6 spliceosomal RNA